rnacentral:misc_RNA from 1 species
UGUUCGAGCGUCAUUACAACCCUCAAGCUCUGCUUGGUAUUGGGCAUCACCAGAGAUGGUGUGCCUUAAAAUCAGUGGCGGUGCCAUGUGGCUCUAAGCGUAGUAAUUUUCUCGCUAUAGACGUCCUGUGGAUGCUUGCCAGCAACCCCUAAUUUUUUAAGGUUGACCUCGGAUCAGGUAGGGAUACCCGCUGAACUUAA